rnacentral:rRNA from 1 species
AGGACGAACGCUGGCGGCGUGCUUAACACAUGCAAGUCGAACGGUGACGGAGAGCUUGCUCUCCUGAUCAGUGGCGAACGGGUGAGUAACACGUGGGCAACCUGCCCCUGACUUCGGGAUAACGCUUCGAAAGAGGUGCUAAUACCGGAUACGAGUCCUCUAGGCAUCUUGAGGACUGGAAAGUUUUUUCGGUCAGGGAUGGGCCCGCGGCCUAUCAGCUUUGGUUGGUGAGGUAAUGGCUCACCGAAGGCGACGACGGGUAGCCGGCCUGGAGACGGGCGACCGGGCCACGACGUGGACUGAGACACGGCCAGACGUCCGUAACGGGAGCAAGCGUAGUGGGAAUCGUGCGCAAGU